UGUUCGCCACUAUUCAUUAAGUGUCAUAUGUUGUGUCAUGUAUACAUCAAAUUUUUUAAUCAUUUCUUUUUAUUCUAUUACCAUUUCUCCAUAUUUUCACUCUAACUCCCAUGCUCCUAUCCUCCAUUCUCCACGCUUCCGUCUUUUCCUUUUUUCUCUUCAUUUCUUACUAUAGACAUUUUUUCUCUUUGACUUUUCCUUUUUCAUUUUCUCUCUGUAGUCAACCAAAACCCUCGAUGAAAAUUCAUUUGAAGCUGCCCUACUGCAACUUCAUUUUUUUUCCUUCGCUAAUGAGUAAUUUCUCUAUAUGAAUGAGUAAUUUCACUUCCAUUAUAAUAGAAGGUAUGUACUCCAUCUAAUUUCUUGGCAUUAAAGUCGUGUCAAGGUGAUAUAACUGUUCCUCGAUUCAUCAAAUAUGGUUCAAGUGUCCAGCCUUGAAGACUUCUGUUCCAUGACGGUUGUGAAAACAUAUUUGUUGAAGCAUACAUCCUUGUGAGUUUUAGAUUUUUUAUAUUUUUUUAUUCCUUCCCAAUAGUGUGAUAAUUGAGUGAUUCAAGUUUUCCCUCUGGGUGAUUUUAUAUCCCAAGGUUUUUAUUGAUCUGUAAUGGAGAUGGAAAUUGUAAUGGAGUUGACAAUGGAUUGAAGGUCGAGGAAGAUGUCGAGUUUGGAUUGGGAUGUUUUACCUCUGGAACCUCCCAAGGUAAUUCCUUGUUUUUUGUCGAUUUGAUGAAAAAAUUGAACUUUUUUGGUAUGAAAUAAUUUCUUAUUCUU
rnacentral:lncRNA from 1 species